rnacentral:rRNA from 1 species
GACGAACGCUGGCGGCGUGCUUAACACAUGCAAGUCGAACGGAAAGGCCCCCUUGUGGGGUACUCGAGUGGCGAACGGGUGAGUAGCACGUGAGUAACCUACCCUUGACUUUGGGAUAACUUCAGGAAACUGGGGCUAAUACCGGAUAGGAGCUCCUGCUGCAUGGUGGGGGUUGGAAAGUUUCGGCGGUUGGGGAUGGACUCGCGGCUUAUCAGCUUGUUGGUGGGGUAGUGGCUCACCAAGGCUUUGACGGGUAGCCGGCCUGAGAGGGUGACCGGCCACAUUGGGACUGAGAUACGGCCCAGACUCCUACGGGAGGCAGCAGUGGGGAAUAUUGCACAAUGGGCGGAAGCCUGAUGCAGCAACGCCGCGUGCGGGAUGACGGCCUUCGGGUUGUAAACCGCUUUCGCCUGUGACGAAGCGUGAGUGACGGUAAUGGGUAAAGAAGCACCGGCUAACUACGUG